rnacentral:rRNA from 1 species
UACGUAGGGUGCAAGCGUUGUCCGGAAUUAUUGGGCGUAAAGAGCUCGUAGGCGGUCUGUCGCGUCUGCUGUGAAAACUCAGGGCUUAACCCUGAGCUUGCAGUGGGUACGGGCAGACUAGAGUCCGGGAGAGGAGAGUGGAAUUCCUGGUGUAGCGGUGAAAUGCGCAGAUAUCAGGAAGAACACCCGUGGCGAAAGCGGCUCUCUGGAACGGUACUGACGCUGAGACGCGAAAGCGUGGGGAGCGAACAGG